CACGGGGGGAGCAAGCGUUGUUCGGAAUCACUGGGCGUAAAGGGCGUGUAGGCGGUGCUCUAAGUCGGAUGUGAAAACUCUGGGCUCAACCCAGAGCCUGCAUCCGAAACUGGAGUGCUAGAGUUCUGGAGGGGGUAGCGGAAUUCCUGGUGUAGCGGUGAAAUGCGUAGAUAUCAGGAGGAACACCGGUGGCGAAGGCGGCUACCUGGACAGAAACUGACGCUGAGGCACGAAAGCUAGGGGAGCAAACAGG
rnacentral:rRNA from 1 species